AUAUGGUCGCGACGCGGGUCAAAGUGUAGCAUCUGUUCUUAUCAGCUUAAUAUCUGAUUCGGGUUGUAUGUGUACCUAAGAUAUUAAACUUAUUUUUGCAAGGUGGUGGAGUGUUUAAAGCCUGUUUCACCUCCGCAGCGGAUCGGCCCGGUUUUGCACUGUCUUCGGGAUCGGUCCCCGUAUG